GAUCCGGCUCAGGAUGAACGCUAGCGACAGGCUUAACACAUGCAAGUCGAGGGGCAGCGGGGUGUAGCAAUACACCGCCGGCGACCGGCGCACGGGUGAGUAACGCGUAUGCAACUUGCCUAUCAGAGGGGGAUAACCCGGCGAAAGUCGGACUAAUACCGCAUGAAGCAGGGAUCCCGCAUGGGAAUAUUUGCUAAAGAUUCAUCGCUGAUAGAUAGGCAUGCGUUCCA
rnacentral:rRNA from 1 species